GCCGAAAUGGCGGAACAGGCAGACGCAAAGGACUUAAAAUCCUUCGGAGAUCCUAUCUCCGUGCCGGUUCAAAUCCGGCUUUCGGCACCA
rnacentral:tRNA from 1 species